rnacentral:tRNA from 1 species
GCGCGAGUGGUGAAAUGGCAGACACGCCAGACUUAGGAUCUGGUCCCGCAAGGGGUGGAGGUUCAAGUCCUCUCUCGCGCACCA